rnacentral:rRNA from 1 species
GCCGCGUGAGCGAUGAAGGCCUUCGGGUCGUAAAGCUCUGUUGUUAGGGAAGAACAAGUACCGGAGUAACUGCCGGUACCUUGACGGUACCUAACCAGAAAGCCACGGCUAACUACGUGCCAGCAGCCGCGGUAAUACGUAGGUGGCAAGCGUUGUCCGGAAUUAUUGGGCGUAAAGCGCGCGCAGGCGGUCCUUUAAGUCUGAUGUGAAAGCCCACGGCUCAACCGUGGAGGGUCAUUGGAAACUGGGGGACUUGAGUGCAGAAGAGGAAAGCGGAAUUCCACGUGUAGCGGUGAAAUGCGUAGAGAUGUGGAGGAACACCAGUGGCGAAGGCGGCUUUCUGGUCUGUAACUGACGCUGAGGCGCGAAAGCGUGGGGAGCAAACAGGAUUAGAUACCCUGGUAGUCCACGCCGUAAACGAUGAGUGCUAAGUGUUAGAGGGUUUCCGCCCUUUAGUGCUGCAGCUAACGCAUUAAGCACUCCGCCUGGGGAGUACG